GCCCGGGUGGCGAAACCGGUAGACGCGAGGGACUUAAAAUCCCUCGGGCGAAAGCCCAUGCGGGUUCGAGUCCCGCCCCGGGUA
rnacentral:tRNA from 1 species